rnacentral:rRNA from 1 species
CUAGGAUUAGAUACCCUAUUAUUUAAAAUGUAAAAACUAAAGUAUUAAUAGUUAUGGACUUUAAACUUAAAAAAUUUGGCGGUAUUUUAGUCUAUUCAGAGGAACCUGUUUUAUAAUCGAUAUUCCACGUUGGACCUUACUUUAAUUUAUUAAUUAGUUUAUAUACCGUCGUUAUUAAAAAUUUUAUAAGAAUAAUAAUUUUUAAAAUUAUAUAUCAGAUCAAGGUGUAGCUUAUAUUAAAGAAAAUAAUGGGUUACAAUAAAAUUAUUUAUAUGAAUAUAAAUAUGAAAAAUUUAUUGAAAUAGGAUUUGAAAGUAAAAUUAAAUAGAUUAUUAAUUUGAUUUUAGCUCUAAAAUAUGUACAUAUCGCCCGUCACUCUUAUUAUUAAAAUAAGAUAAG